rnacentral:rRNA from 1 species
AUUGAACGCUGGCGGCAUGCCUUACACAUGCAAGUCGAACGGUAACAGGUCUUCGGAUGCUGACGAGUGGCGAACGGGUGAGUAAUACAUCGGAACGUGCCUAGUAGUGGGGGAUAACUACUCGAAAGAGUGGCUAAUACCGCAUGAGAUCUACGGAUGAAAGCAGGGGAGCGAAAGACCUUGGGCUACUAGAGCGGCCGAUGGCAGAUUAGGUAGUUGGUGGGAUAAAAGCUUACCAAGCCGACGAUCUGUAGCUGGUCUGAGAGGACGAUCAGCCACACUGGGACUGAGACACGGCCCAGACUCCUACGGGAGGCAGCAGUGGGGAAUUUUGGACAAUGGGCGAAAGCCUGAUCCAGCAAUGCCGCGUGCAGGAUGAAGGCCUUCGGGUUGUAAACUGCUUUUGUACGGAACGAAAAGCCCUGGGUUAAUACCCUGGGGUCAUGACGGUACCGUAAGAAUAAGCACCGGCUAACUACGUGCCAGCCGCCGCCGUAAUAC